rnacentral:rRNA from 1 species
AUUGAACGCUGGCGGCAUGCUUUACACAUGCAAGUCGAACGGUAACAGGCCUUUGGGUGCUGACGAGUGGCGAACGGGUGAGUAAUGCAUCGGAACGUGCCCAGAGGUGGGGGAUAACGCAGCGAAAGCUGUGCUAAUACCGCAUGUGAUCUGAGGAUGAAAGCGGGGGACCAGGCAGCAAUGUUUGGCCUCGCGCCUUUGGAGCGGCCGAUGUCAGAUUAGGUAGUUGGUGGGGUAAAGGCCUACCAAGCCGACGAUCUGUAGCUGGUCUGAGAGGACGACCAGCCACACUGGGACUGAGACACGGCCCAGACUCCUACGGGAGGCAGCAGUGGGGAAUUUUGGACAAUGGGCGCAAGCCUGAUCCAGCAAUGCCGCGUGCGGGAAGAAGGCCUGCGGGUUGUAAACCGCUUUUGUACGGAACGAAAAGGCUCUGGCUAAUACCUGGGGCUGAGGACGGUACCGUAAGAAUAAGCACCGGCUAACUACGU